rnacentral:rRNA from 1 species
GGGGAGGACGAGGGGCUCGCGGCCUAUCAGCUAGUUGGUGCGGUAACGGCGCACCAAGGCGACGACGGGUAGCUGGUCUGAGAGGAUGGCCAGCCACAUUGGGACUGAGAGACGGCCCAG